UUCACUCUACUCCAAUGGAAAGACCGGUCCAUUGAGUAGCACUUCCCUUAACCAAUAUACGUCCAAUGGGAAUGGUGUACCAGUGUCUAAGAAUCGGAAUGCUCGUCCUCAUCACCAGUUCACGGUACGUUACAUGUUUUAAUUACAUGUGAAAAUUAGAAAGUGUUGGUAGUCAUUAAUGUUCUUAAACCAUGAUAUGUCUAAUUCUAGUUAAAAAAGGUAAGGUGGGUGUAGUCGGAAAUUAUUCAAAUUAGAAGUCUCAAGGCUGCCAUGACUGAAUAACUGAUUGCAAUCUUGUUGUGGGGCAUUUUUCAUUGAAUCAUUUUUACUUUUGCUUAUUUAGGGCAUUGCUAAGGGUUUAGUAGGUGUUUUUUUUUUUAAUGUAUAUUAAAGUUUUUAUGAGAAAUUUGUGUCAUCUGUUCAAAAUUUGUCAAGCCAAGUUCCUUGGUUUUGGGUUCCCUCCGUUUUCAUGUUACUAGUCAUCAUUCCAUGUUUCUGAACACUAAGAAUUUGUAAUGUCUUCUCUCCAGGGGUAUAACAAUCCAAGGCCAUUAUCUGGUCUUAAUUCAGGGAAUGGCUAUGUGAACAGGAUGUAUUCAAACAAGUUGUACAACCAGAAUGGUAUCUCUUACAGAUCUGGUUUUUAUGGGUCUAAUGUUUUUGAUUCCCGGACUAUGGAAAGUGGGUGGUUCUCUGUUGAUAACAAGUACAAACCCAGGGGACGAGGCAAUGGUUCUGCGAAUUACGGAAAUGGGAAUGUUGACGGAUUAAAUGAACUGAACAGGGGCCCAAGAGCAAAGAGCUUUAAGAAUCAAAAAGGUGCUGUUCCUGCUGCUGUAGCUGUAAACGGACAGGACAACCUUGUCACUGGGACUAAUGGAAGUACUGAGGACAGUAGGGUGGAUAAAGAGAACGGACAAUACAACAGAGCUGAUUUUCCUAUAACAUAUGCUGAUGCCAAGUUUUUUAUUAUAAAGUCUUACAGUGAAGACGAUGUUCAUAAGAGUGUCAAGUACAAUGUGUGGUCAAGUACACAAAAUGGAAACAAGAAGCUUGAUGCAGCGUACCAUGAAGCGCAGCAGAAUUCUGGCCACUGCCCCGUCUUUCUGCUUUUCUCGGUGAGCUCUCUGGAUACAAACUUACUUUUUACUGGAACAUGAAUUGUAUUCAUAUAUUUAUGUCAGUAUUCUUCUUCUGAAAUGUCCAGGUUAAUACUAGUGGACAAUUUCUUGGUGUUGCGGAGAUGUCAGGGCCAGUUGAUUUUGACAAGAAUCUUGAGUAUUGGCAACAAGACAAGUGGGUUGGCUGUUUCCCCGUAAAGUGGCACAUUGUGAAGGAUGUGCCUAACAGUGUGUUGAAGCACAUUACCCUUGAGAACAAUGAGAACAAACCUGUAACCAACAGCAGGGAUACCCAAGAGGUGGGUGGUUUUCAUAGUUCGUUUCUUUAUAUAUCUACUGUGGAAAUCGUACUCAUGGAAAUGAUUUAAUGUCUGCAGGUAAAAUUGGAGCAGGGACUUCAAUUGCUCAAAAUAUUUCAGGAUUAUACUAGUGAACGAACCCUGCUGGAUGAUUUUGAUUUCUACGAGGAGCGUCAAAAGAGGAUCCAGGAUAGAAAAUCUAAGCAACAGUUGAUUCAGAAACAGGUAUGACUUACAUAUUUACAUGUAUUUUAUAUUGAUAUCAUCUUUGAAGUCGGUCUUCUCUUAUAAAUUAUUAUUUUGAAAUGAAAAUAAAAAUUACUCAACUUCAUGCUCUGACCUCUUGACCUUGCAUAUGUUGUAUCCGCAGUUGGUGGAAGGAAAGCCUACUGAUGAAGCUACCAAAGAGGGCUCAAAUGUAGAAGUGACAACUGAAAAGUCGGUAGAUGUUCCUUCAAACUUAACAAAAAGUUCUACCCGGUCUGUUUUUGCUAUUGGGGAUGCAAAGGUUGAAAAUGUUGCAGCUGUUGAAGCUCAAGAGGUUAGUAAACCAGUAACAGUGACAGCGAAGGAAUUGGUGUCUAAUGGGGUUGCCAACGGUUGCUAAAUUUGCAAUGCACAGAGAUGGUCAGGCUACAUUGCUGAACUUAAGGUUACCCUUUGUAGUCUGGUGUCUUUGUAACCUUGUGAUUUUGCAACAUAUACAGUGCGCAAGUGGUCGGUGAAAGUUUGGUUUUUGUGUCGUAGGCAGACUUAUGAUAUAUCAUCAGUACUCAGUACAAGUCUCUUUUCUCUGUUAUUUUUCUUUUUUUAUAGAAAAGAUUUUGUCUUUGUGACGGAUCAGUUUGAUUCUAUUUUGGAGUUUUUUUUGUCUAGUCUCAGUGUGGUGCUGUUGCUUCUAUGACUUCUAUGUUUCAGAGUUUUUCAUUAAUGAGGGUUGUUAAGAGUAAAUUGAUUUAGUUAAUGCUGAACUGAUACUACCAGACUACCAGUACUUGAUUACUUUCCGAAGCCCUUAUUUAUGUAGGAUUGUGUGUCACAUUGCUAGAACAAUUUUACAUGAUGCCAACUUUUAGAGGCUGUUUAUUUAGGGGAAUUUCAGGCUAGUUAGAAGGAAUUAGAUAGUGAUGACUGUAGUUAGGUGGUUGUGUUAAAGGAAUGAGAAUUUGAGUCCAGUUAACAUGAGUCUUUUGCAUUCUAUUUUUCAUCUAUAUUUUCGUCAAAACCUUUCCCUGGCUUCUUCUGCAUCCAAUAUUUAGUGUCUGUUGAUCUUCUCAUGGUAUCUGUAAGUUCUAUCCGCAAGUUUUUGAGUUCAUCUCUGACAUUUAUAUUAUUGUUAGUAAAUAUCGUAUGUGUCUGAAGUUGUAUAUUUAUGUGCAAAAUUGUGUAUGUAUAUGUGUUUUCUGGUCAUGGUGUAUUGUUUCAUCUUAAAAUAUAUAUAGAGGGUAAUACAAAAUGAUAAAUGGUAAUCUGCAUUCCUCUAUUCAUGUGUACUAAAAAUUGUCUUGUUGAGUAAAAUAAGUUUUUGUGUAUGCCCAUCCGCCUAUUUGAUGAUAGUCCUUGAGAAGCCUUUUGCAGACAGAUAUAUUAAAUAUUUUUUUUUAAUUAAGUACUCUGUAGUCAAAUGUGACGAGUUAAUGCAUUAUGUUCUCUUUGCGAUGUCCCUGUUAUAAUGACAAUUCUGUUCUCAAAUGUCAAUCUUGACAGGGUCUUUUUUGUGUGUAUGUUGCUGGUUUAUAUUGUAGAGUCUUUAGAAGGGCAGGUAGAACCUUUUGCUAUUGUACCAAUGUGAAUUCUCUUAACAAUAUGAUAACAAGAAUGACCUGCUUUUGAAAAGAAGGCUGUUGCCAUUGAGAGAGGUUUAUUGCCUUAAUCUGCUAAUGCUAACUCAGGGACAUCAAUAGUAGGUCAGAAUUCAAUUGUGGAAGUUGCCAAUACAGUUGAACAAUGCAGCAGAACUUGUUUCCUAGUAUGUAAGUUGUGGACCGCUGAAGAAGAGGGAAGUCUCAAGGUUCCCCGGCUAGAUUUAUAUCUGCCUGAUGCUGUCGAGAGAGUGUUUGAAGAUAUGAUUUCGACUAUAGUUUUGAAUCUUUUGAUGAGUAGCAAUGAUUCAUAUGAGGCUGAUAAUAGGUGCAUGAUACUAUUGGAGUUUUUGCCGUCUUAUGUUUAUUCUUGUUGAUUUUAUGUUUAUUCUUGUUGAUUCGGGCCAAAAAAAAAAUGGUUUGUUCUUGUUGAGAGUGUAGUGUAAGAAGUGCAAGUUCAUGUAAGCUUCUGCUUUUUCAAAGCAGUUCCAAGUGCCUGGAUAGGCAGAUAUGUAUGCUAGCUUCUUUUUUUUUCUUUCCCCGGGUCGGGUUUCUGGUUUGCUGCUGGGAUGAAAUUCCUGGGUUCAGCUUAAUAUGUAUAAAAUGAACAUGUACUGAUCUCGCAAGCGACCAUAUGCCGAGAAGUUCCAGUAUUUUAAAAAUAUGCUAAUAAUCAUCUAAGAACCGAAGCUUCUGAGCAAAUGUAUGACCACUAAUAGGGUUCAAAAUGGGGCGGGACUUCAUUUCUCAACCUCGCCACAUAUAUAUCUUCGCUGCCCUGCCCUAUCCCCCGUGAGGAUAUAAUUUUUAUCUCUAUCCCACCAGGUUUUUCAUUUCUCAACCUCGCCACAUAUAUAUUUUCGCUGCCCUGCCCUAUCCCCCGCGAGGAUAUAAUUUUUAUCCCUAUCCCACCAGGUUUUUAAAAUAUUUUUGCGAAACGGCCUCGUCCUGCCUCGCUCUGCUCAUAUUUAUUUUAGAUAAUUGCUUAAAAUGAUAGUAAUUUUUUUGAGAAAUAAUAAAAAUAUACAAUACAUGUAUACUAGAAAUAUGUUCAUGUCACUUAGCCAAAAAAUAAAUAUAUUCAUGCAUGUUAAAUUAGAAUAACAAUAUAAUCAAGCAUAAUAAUUUUAAUAUAUAUAUAUAUAUAUAUAUAUGUAUGUAUGUAUAUAUGUAUGUAUGUAAAUGUAUGUAUGUAUAUAUGUAUGUAUGUAAAUGUAUGUAUGUAUAUAUAAAUCUAUUACAAAUAUUAUUUUUAAAUACAUAUAGUUUAAAAUUAUAUUUAUAUUGUCAUUCGUAAAUGUAUGUAUGUAUAUAUAAAUCUAUUACAAAUAUUAUUUUUAAAUACAUAUAGUUUAAAAUUAUAUUUAUAUUGUCAUUCAAAAGUAUAUUUUUUGAAUGUAUAAAUUACACAAACCACUCGAACCGUACCACACCGCACCGCAAUUUUUUGGUGUGGUUUACGUGGUUUUUAUAUUACAUGGUGUGGUUGCGGUUUACGAAUUUUCUCAAACCGUAUGAGCGGGUUGGUUCACGGUUUUUAAAAAAAACCGCACAGCCCGCACCUUGAACACCCCUAGCGUGAAUGGGAAAAAUGCCUUCAGAUCCACAAUUUAAAUACACAAUGCCCCAAAUGUCUCUGCCUAGGAAAAACGCCCACACUAUCACUUCAAAACACAACUUCAAGUUGCGUUUUACAUUUUUCAAUAAAACGCAACAUGAAGUCACGUUUUGGCGUUUUCUUUAUUUAAAUAAACAUAAACGUACACGAAAUUACGUUUUAAUGACUAGAAACGUAACACGAAAUUACGUUUUAGGUAUUUAUUUAUAAAAAUAUUUGAUAUGAUAAGUGAAAGUGAAAAACAAGGUCUUCAUAAGCAACCAUAAUGGCUGUUAGAGGGGUUCAAAAUUACGAUAGUAGAGUGUGGUUUAAGCGAGAUUGAGUUAACGGGUGGCGGAUUUACAUGGGAAAAGAGCAGAGGUACAAAAGAUUGGGUAAGGGAAAGAUUGGAUCGUGCUUUCGCUUCGUUUAGAUGGUGGCAAAUAUUCCCUCUGUGUAUUCUAGCUAUGCACCACACUAUCUACUCGGAUCACGACCCAAUUUAGUUGGAGCUGGUAGGUGAUACUCAUUCAAAAAAAAUAAUUCCGUUUUCGUUUUGAAAACACUUGGCUUAAGGAAAAGUCUUUUCACGAGGAGGUCUCAAUGUACUGGUCGAGAUUAGGCUCGAUUCACUUCUUACCAAAAAUCCUGGACCUCUCCUCAUUUAUGGAGAAAUGGAGUCGAAGGUUCUUUAACGAAUUCCGAGAGAAAAUUCGAAAACAAAAGGAAGUUUUGAGUUUAUUUGAAGGUUGUGAAAAUGACGAGCAGACAAAGAAAUACUUUGAGGAGAGAAGUAAAUCGGAGGACUUGUUAAUUCAUGAAGAAGCAUAUUGGAAACAACGAGCGAAGUCUUUUUCGUUAACGGAAGGUGACUCUAAUUCUAAAUUCUUUCACGCCUAUGCUACUACGAGGAAAUAAAGAAGUAAUAUUACUCAGUUAGUGAAUGAUGAUGGUGAGAUAAUGACUGAUCAAGAAGGUAUGUGUAGUGUGGUUAAGAACUACUUUGAACAACUAUUUGGUCAAGCAGGUAAUAGUCAAGAUGCGGGAAAUAUCAACACUGAAGUAGUAGUUUCAGAAGAGCUGAAUAACAGACUGACUGAGAAGUUCACGUUCGAGAAAUUUUCCACAGCUGUUAGACAAAUGCAACCUGAUAAAUGCAAGAUCUGACAGUCUCAAUCUGAACAUUCCAAAUGUGAUUAUUGAGUCCGAUUCAAUGCUUACUGUGCAGGCCAUUAAUAAGAACUCAGAAAAUUUGCUGGAGGUAAGAAAUGUGUUGCACGAAUGUUCCUCUCUUCUUAGCACUCAGCAGGACAUUAGCUUCUCGUUUGUUAGAAAGAAGGCCAAAAACGUAGCCCAUAUGCUAGCUAAGGUUCCGUGUGAGGUCAAUUGCUAUAAUGAAUUUUAUUCUCCUCCACAUUCUAUGUUGGAGACUCUCUUGUAUGAAGCAGCUUUGAAUUAAUAUAUUCCCCCAUUUUCAAAAAAAGGGAUUGAAGUUCCCAAAACCCUCGAGGCCCUAAACCCUCAAUCCCAAACACUAAUUAAUUCGAAGUUUUAGGGCCGUGAGGCCUAAAGCUUCGGAACAAAAUUAAAAAAUCAAUUUUAAAACAUACAUUAUUAGUUUUUAAUAUUUCAGGUUUCAUAUUUUGGCUUUAAGUUGAUUUAUUUAUACUUGAAAUUAAAAUAAUUUUAAAAUAUAAAAAAAUAUUAUUCAAAACACAACUUUAAGUUGCUUUCAGACUAUAAAACACAACUUAAACUUGCGUUCCGAGUAUUACUUUAUAAAAUAAAAAAACGACAAUCGAAGUCGCGUUUUGACUUAAAUACAAACCGAAGUUUCAAGUGAUAGUUAGCAACAUUUUUAGAGCGAUCUUGACAUAGAGGAUAUUUUCCCUCCUUUAUUUAUGGGGUUAAAUGUCAGAUUGGUCACUAUAGUGAAGGCCAUAUCUCACUUUAGUGACCCGACUUAACGGAGACUCACAUGCACCACUGUAGUAUUGGGUUAUCACAGAAACAUUAACUUUUUUAAUUACCCAGACGAAAAACAAAACGUGGUAGCCAUGACUUGGACAAGAUUGAUUAUGACCAUUUGACUGUCUUACGUGGCUAGAUACAACGGUAACUUGUCUGUGUGUAUAUAUAUCAGCCAGGGUUCUUAACAAAAACUGAAACAAAAAACAUAUCUUCUACAAGUUUGCUAAUAUGAAAACAUCUCCUACACCCAUUACACACUCUGGAACGAACUCUUUUUCUGGGGGGUCGGUGAAGAAGGAGGAGCACAGGACAUGCUUUUGUGGGAGACGAGCUAGAAUCUGCACUUCUUGGACUCUAAAAAAUCCGAGAAUACGGCUCUAUAAAUGUGCAACAUCUAAGGUAGUUUCUUACUUGUUUCUCACUAGUCCUUUUAUACUCUGGAUCACUAUCAUCACUAUAUUUGAACCAUCAAUUACUUCACCAAGAUCAAAAUGGUCUACAUAUAACUUUAUUCGACCAUAAGGCUUACAUAUAUUAAUCAAAUCCCUAACCAAAUUGUCAUCAUAAAUUACUCGCAUACUCUUUUCAAAGCUAUAUCCAUUACACGUAAAAUUGACUAGGGAGGAAGACACAUCAUAUGCAUAUUUUUCAGCAAACUCCUUAAGAUCACGAAAUGAAAAUGUAUCACAAUUGAAAUCUUUAAUUAUCUCAGUUUUGCCACCAACAUACUUAAUAUUAUGAGGAGGUGUAAAAUUACCGUGGUGAUGUAGGUAUAGAGUAGUUGUAGUAGACAUGUUGUAAACAAAUCGAACAUAUAUACAACCAUAUAUCAUAUAUCAAAGCAUUUACGCAAUUAAAGAGCAAAAAAACUAGGGUUUAUAGAUGUAAGAAAGGGGUGCAUACCUUCGAAUGGAGAGAGGUUAGAGCUCGCUUUGUCCACCGGUAUCAAAUUGAUUGCUUGAUUCAAUUACGAUUUAAUCCCCAAAUCGUACUUUUGAACCCUAAUUCGCCCCUAAUCACGACUACACUCGAACAUAAGAUUCUAAUAAUGUUAUUUCACUAAUAUAUUUUGGUAAUACAUUUAGACCCGGCUGAGUUGGACUCCGUAACUGCCACGUUUUAAAAAAAUGAAAGAAACGUUAGUUUAGCGAUGGUUCCCGUCAAGUCAACUAGUCAAACUAAGAUCCGUGUGAUAAUCUGUUACUACAGUGAUACAUGUGAGUUCUCAUUAAGUUGGGUCACUAAAGUGAGAGAUGGCUCUCACUUUAGUGACCAAUAUGAGAUUUAACCCUUUAUUUAUGUGCCACUCAGGUCAACACCCAGCGCGAACACCCCUGGUUUUAGAUAGAAAUCAAAAUCCCAAAAACCCAAUACAUCUCUCUCCGCCUCCGCUAUCCCAGUUUCUCUCUAGGGUUUUUCUCUUUCUAAAACCCUUUCGAUUCUCAGAUAUCUUACAUGGCUACUGGGUGUGCUCCUGCGGAGAGUAUGCAUCUCUACUCAUUUAUGUUUGUUUUCUUGUUGUGUAUAAGCUUUUAUGCUUGUGUAUACACUGUUCUUGAUGUGGGUUAUGUGCAGAUAAUAGAUACAGAUCUUUGUAUGUAUAAUCAUGUGCAAAGGUGGAUUCUUUCUUGUGUGAUCUGUUAGAAUAUAUGUUCUUUCACCUUCAGUUUCGUAGAUUUAUUUUUUGUUUGAUUAUCUUGUUUUGUCUUUUUCUGUUCUUGAUUCUUGUUGAAAAUUAUUGAUUUGUGUGAUGGAUAGUUGUGUAAUUGUUUUGAUUUUUUAAUUGGUGAUCUAGGGGUUUGUGUUUGAUUAAGGGUUUUUAGUUCUGAAUGUUGCACAUAUAGCUUUGUUGUUUUUCACGGUCUUUAUAUGCUGGUUUUGUAGAUGAUUUGCCUCUAAUUGUUAUAGAGGGUUUGUUCGCUUUUGUGCUUGUGUAUGGGUUUAUAGGUGUGGUUUUCGUGAAGGCUUCGCUUUCUUAAAAAAAAUUUGGUGUCCUCAGACAUGCUUCUUAUGCUCGUGAUUUGAAUUUGGAUUACAUGAAGUUGAUUGCUUUUUAAAUAUUUUUUGUUUAUAUACAUGUAAGCUAAAGUGUAGCUUACCUUUUGUGCAACAGAAGCUGCAGAUUUGCUCCAGAAGCUAUCACUGGAUCCUCAAGCUAAGACGGAAAAUUCACAGUCCACUAAGGUGUUUGCAAAUUGUAACAUUAGUGUUAGUACCUGUAGUCACAUAUGUGUUUUUAUCUCUGUGUCUAACCUUGUCUACUUACAGCCUAUUGUAGAUUCAGGUAAUGUGCCGAAUGGUCAGAUCCAAUCAUCUGAUCGGUCUUUGACACCGUUGUUACCUGAUCCCAUGGAUCCAACAAUGUGGUAUGCUAAUGGUUAUGCUCCAUAUUAUUACGGAGGUAAUUCUAUUAUUCUUAAUAUGAACUUUUUCUUAAAUGAUGAAGUGUUUAGAAUGGAAUAAAGCAUUUGCUUUUUUAAUACUUAUAUAAAGCAUUGGUAUACUCUGAAAAUCAGUUAAAAUAAUUUUUUUCUGGACAGGGUAUGAUGGGACUGGUAAUGGGUGGGAUGAUUACUCUAAUUACUUGAAGCCGGAUGGAGUCGAUAUGUCACAUGUAAGAUUUCAGUUCUGUCAUUUCAUAUUCUCUUUUAUUUUUAAGUAUCUUAGAACGUAAGUCUUCCUUUCCAUACCCAUUUUAUCUGCCAUAUCAUAAGAAUAGCCUAAACCGUACAAAGAAUUAUUACUUCUUAACUAACACAGGACAAACUUGUUCUAAUUUUUUGUUUGAUAUUCUAUAUCUCAAUUUUGCAUAUUAUUAGGGGGUGUAUGGUGGUUAUGGUUAUGCACCCUACGGUGCUUAUUCACCUGCGGGUACGCCUGUUCCUACACUUGGCCAUGAUGGUCAGCUUUAUGCAGCUCAACAGUACCAGUACCCGGCCUCUUAUUUUCAGCCUGCAGCUGCCCCUGCAAAAGGUGAUAUUUCAACCGCUGCACCCGCCGACCAACCAAUUUUGUCUAUUGAAACUCCUAAAGGGAAGCCUAAUGGCAUUGCAAAUAGUGGUGGUGUAAAAGGAAACAAAGGUUCAACAGCAUUGAAACCGACAUAUCAGAAUUCAUCUUAUAUUAGCUCAUCAUAUAAUGCAAAUAGCUCCAAUGGAACGGGUGUGUUCCCAGGAGGAGUUCCAGCUUCUGGAUAUGUUUAUGAUGCCUCACGAUCUUCUGUCCCUUGGUUUGAUGGUUCAGUCUACUCCAAUGGAAAGACCGGUCCAUUGAGUAGCACUUCCUUUAACCAAUAUACGUCCAAUGGGAAUGGUGUACCAGUGUCUAAGAAUCAGAAUGCUCGUCCUCAUCACCAGUUCACGGUACGUUACAUGUUUUAAUUACAUGUGAAAAUUAGAAAGUGUUGGGAGUCAUUAAUGUUCUCAAACCCUGAUACAUCUAAUUCUAGUUGAAAAAAGUAAGGAGGGUAACAAAAACUAAAGUAGGCGGAAAUUAUACAAAUUAAAAGUCAAGGCUUCUGCCCUGUGAUGAAUAACUGAUUGCGAUCUUGUUGUGGGGCGUUUUUCAUUUUUACUUUUGCUUAUUUAGGGCAUUGCUAAUGGUUUAUUAGGUGUUUUUUUUAUGUAUAUUAAAGUUUUAAUAGAAAUUUCUGUCUUAUGUGCAAAAUUUGUCAAGCAAAGUUCCUUGGUUUUGGGUUCCCUACGUUUUCAUGUUACUAGUCAUCAUUCCUGUGUUUCUGAACACUAAGAAUUUGUAAUGUCUUCUCUCCAGGGAUAUAACAAUCGAAGACCAUUAUCUGGUCUUAAUUCAGGGAAUGGUUAUGUGAACAGGAUGUAUUCGAACAAGUUCUACAACCAGAAUGGUAUCUCUUACAGAUCUGGUUUUUAUGGGUCUAAUGGUUAUGAUUCCCGGACUAUGGGAAGUGGGUGGUUCUCUGUUGAUAACAAGUACAAACCCAGGGGACGAGGCAAUGGUUGUGCGAAUUACGGAAAUGGGAAUGUUGACGGAUUAAAUGAACUGAACAGGGGCCCAAGAGCAAAGAGCUUCAAGAAUCAAAAAGGUGCUGUUCCUGCUUCUGUAGCUGUAAAGGGACAGGACAACCUUGUCACGGGGACCAAUGGAAGUACUGAGGACAGUAGGGUGGAUAAAGAGAACGGACAAUACAACAGAGCUGAUUUUCCUAUAACAUAUGCUGAUGCCAAGUUUUUCAUUAUAAAGUCUUACAGUGAAGACGAUGUUCAUAAGAGUGUCAAGUACAAUGUGUGGUCAAGUACACAAAAUGGAAACAAGAAGCUUGAUGCAGCGUACCAUGAAGCGCAGCAGAAUUCUGGCCACUGCCCCGUCUUUCUGCUUUUCUCAGUGAGCUCGCUGGAUACAAACUUACUUUUUACUGGAACAUGAAUUGUAUUCAUAUAUUUAUAUCAUUAUUCUUCUUCUGAAAUUUCCAGGUUAAUACUAGUGGACAAUUUGUUGGUGUUGCGGAGAUGUCAGGGCCAGUUGAUUUUGACAAGAUUCUUGAGUAUUGGCAACAAGACAAGUGGGUUGGCUGUUUCCCGGUAAAGUGGCACAUUGUGAAGGAUGUGCCUAACAGUUUGUUGAAGCACAUUACCCUUGAGAACAAUGAGAACAAACCUGUAACCAACAGCAGGGAUACCCAAGAGGUGGGUGGUUUUCGUAGUUCGUUUCUUCAUAUAUCUACUGUGGAAAUCGUACUCAUGGAAAUGAUUAAUGUGUGCAGGUAAAAUUGGAGCAGGGACUUCAAUUGCUCAAAAUAUUUCAGGAUUAUACCAGUGCGCAAUCCGUACUGGAUGAUUUUGAUUUCUACGAGGACCGUCAAAAGAAGAUCCAGGAUAGAAAAGCUAAGCAACAGUUGAUUCAGAAACAGGUAUGACCUACAUAUUUACAUGUAUUUCAUAUUGAUAUCAUUUUUUAAGUCGGUCUUCUCUUAUAAAUUAUUGUUUUGAAAAAAAUAAAAAUUACUCAAUGUCAUGCUCUCGCCUCUUGACUUUGCAUAUGUUGUAUCUGCAGUUGUCGGAAGGAAAGCCUACUGAUGAGUCUGCCAAAGAGGGCUCAAAUGUAGAAGUGACUACUGAGAAGUCGGUAGAUGUUCCUUCAAACUUAACAAAAAAUGCAACCCGGGCUGUUUUCGCUAAAGGGGAUGCAAAUGUGUUGGAAAAUGUUGCAACUGUUGAAGCUCAAGAGGUUAGUAAACCAGUAACAGUGACAGCAAAGGAAUUGGUGUCUAAUGGGGUUGCCAACGGUUGCUAAAUUUGCAAUGCACAGGGAUGGUCAGGCUACAUUACUGAAGUAAUUGCUGAACUUGCUGUUUCUAUAA
rnacentral:lncRNA from 1 species